rnacentral:rRNA from 1 species
UACGAAGGGAGCUAGCGUUGUUCGGAAUCACUGGGCGUAAAGCGCACGUAGGCGGACUUGUCAGUCAGGGGUGAAAUCCCGGGGCUCAACCUCGGAACUGCCUCUGAUACAGCAAGUCUUGAGUCCGGAAGAGGUGGGUGGAAUUCCUAGUGUAGAGGUGAAAUUCGUAGAUAUUAGGAAGAACACCGGUGGCGAAGGCGGCCCACUGGUCCGGUACUAACGCUGAGGUGCGAAAGCGUGGGGAGCAAACAGG